AGGUGACAACCAGUGUAAAAAUUUUGUCACACCUUUAUGAUAUGGAUUAAAAUGAUAUAAACUACCUGACAUAACAAUAUAGUAAACAAAUUAACAUAUUGAAAACUAGUUUGGCCAAAAAUCUUUGAAAUCAAAACUUGGGCUUGCAACUCGCCUCACCUGUUUUAUUUUUUUUUAGACCCUGCGAACAGUGUUAUCAAAGGCGAGCGA
rnacentral:misc_RNA from 1 species